rnacentral:rRNA from 1 species
AUUGAACGCUGGCGGCAUGCCUUACACAUGCAAGUCGAACGGCAGCGGACCUUCGGGUGCCGGCGAGUGGCGAACGGGUGAGUAAUAUAUCGGAACGUACCUUUCAGUGGGGGAUAACGUAGCGAAAGUUACGCUAAUACCGCAUAUUCUGUGAGCAGGAAAGCAGGGGAUCGCAAGACCUUGCGCUGAUUGAGCGGCCGAUAUCAGAUUAGCUAGUUGGUGAGGUAAAGGCUCACCAAGGCGACGAUCUGUAGCGGGUCUGAGAGGAUGAUCCGCCACACUGGAACUGAGACACGGUCCAGACUCCUACGGGAGGCAGCAGUGGGAAUUUUGGGACAAUGGGCGCAAGCCUGAUCCAGCCAUGCCGCGUGAGUGAAGAAGGCCUCGG